UGAUUAAAAAUAACUAAGGCACAUAGUGGAUGUCUUGGCAUCAACAGGCGAUGAAGGACGCGCAAGGCUGCGAUAAGCCCCGGAUAGCUGCCGUGAAGCUCACCCGGGGAUCUCCGAAUGGGAUAACCCACAGUAGUCAUCUACUGUAUCUCAUAUGCUCCGCAUAUGAGAAGCGAUACCUGGGGAAGUGAAACAUCUCAGUACCCAGAGGAAAAGAAAACGAAAGUGAUUCCGUCAGUAGUGGCGAACGAAAGCGGAACAGCCCAAACCGGGGGCUUUGCUCCCGGGGUUGUAGGACUCCGAUAUUCUGACAAUAGGUUAGGUGAAGCUUCAGGAAAGCUGCUCCAUAGAGGGUGACAGGCCCGUAACCGAAAACCGACGAUAGGAUAGGAACUCCUGAGUAAUGCGAUACACGUGAAACUUCGCAUGAAUCUGCACCGACCACGGUGUAAGGCUAAAUACUCGUUGAUGACCGAUAGUGAACAAGUACCGCGAGGGAAAGAUGAAAAGAACCGCUGUGAGCGGAGUGAAAUAGUCCCUGAAACCAUGUGCCAACAAGGUGUCAGAGCCGGCUUGUCCGGUGAUGGCGUGCCUUUUGCUUAAUGAGUCUGCGAGUUGGUUGUUGUUGCGAGUGUAAGCCUUUCAGGGGCAUACGCGCAGCGAAAGCGAGUCUUAACCGGCGCCCAAGCAGCAGCAGCCAAACCCGAAGCGGUGGUGAUCUACCCUUGACCAGGCAGAAGCGUUGGUAAAACAACGUGAAAGGCCGAACCGGUGAAUCUUGAGAAAUUCUCGGAUGAGUUGAGGGUAGGAGUGAAAGGCUAAUCAAACCCCGUAAUAGCUGGUUCUCCUCGAAAUGUAUUUAGGUGCAGCGUCACGUGCUGAGCAGAGGGGGUAGAGCACUGAAUGAGCUAGGGGGAUAUUUUUCCUACCAACCUCAAUCAAACUCCGAAUACCUCUGUAUGAAGCGUGGCAGUAAGACAGUGGGGGAUAAGCUUCAUUGUCGAAAGGGAAACAACCCAGCCCAGCAGCUAAGGUGCCCAAACAACGCUCAGUGGAAAGGAAGUAAAAUCUCAAUGACAGUGAGGAUGUUGGCUUAGAAGCAGCCAUCAUUUAAACAGUGCGUAAUAGCUGGCUCAUCGAGAGAUUUUGCGCCGAAAAUGAUUGGCGAUAAGCGUUGUACCGAAGCUCUGGAAGCGAAAGCUUGGUAGAGGAGCAUUCUGGCGGCUGCGAAGUCUGAAGGUAACUGACGAUGGAGCUUCCAGAAGAGAGGAUGCAGACAUAAGUAACGAUAAGGCCAGUUAAAUACUGGCCCGCCAUAAACCCAAGGUUUCCUGGGCAACGAUGUUCGUCCCAGGGUUAGUCGGGUCCUAAGCUACGGCGUGAUGUCUACGCGAUGGAUAACAGGUUAAUAUUCCUGUACUGGUGUGGUUAAGUACUGUUGUUGCGGGAGGUGGUCUUAGCAGACCUUAUUGACUUGGCAGGGAGGGCUUCGGCCUGACCGCGCUAGGGACACCACCCGCCAAGAAAAGCGACAGAUCGUUCCCACAUUACCCGUACCGCAAACCGACACAGGUGGGUGAGCGAAACACGCUCAGGCGCAAGAGUGAACCCUCGUUAAGGAACUCUGCAAUCUAGUCCCGUAACUUAGGGAGAAGGGAUGCCCCGCAAGGGGUCGCAGUAAAUUGGGUCAACCGACUGUUUAUCAAAAACACAGCAUUGUGCUAAGACGAAAGUCUACGUAUACGAUGUGACACGUGACCAAUGCGGAAAGAUUAAGGCAAGGGGUUAGCCGCAAGGCGAAGCUCUGAACCUAAGUCCCCGUGAAUGUCGGCCGUAACUAUAACGGUCCUAAGGUAGCGAAAUUCCUUGUCGGGUAAGUUCCGACCUGCACGAAUCGUGUAACGAGUUGACCGCUGUCUCAACGAGGCGCUCAGUGAAUUUGUAGUGGCGGUGAAGAUGCCGCCUACCCGCAGAAGGACGGAAAGACCCUAUGCACCUUAACUGUAGGCUGUCACUGACUCGCCGAUUUCAAUGCUCAGCAUAAGUGGGAGGCUUUGAAGCCUGACUUUCGGGUCAGGUGGAGCCAAAAGUGAGAUACCACCCUUUGGUGUUGGCGAUUCUAACUGUAUUUAUAGGACAAUGGCAGCUGGUCAGUUUUACUGGGGCGGUAUCCUCCCAAAGAGUAACGGAGGAGCGCGAAGGUGUGCUCAGCGCGGUUGGCAAUCGCGUGUCGAGAGCAUAGUCAUAAGCACGCCUAACUGUGAGACCAACAAGUCGAACAGAUACGAAAGUAGGCCUAAGUGAUCCGGCGGCUUAAAGUGGAAUUGCCGUCGCUUAACGGACAAAAGGUACGCUAGGGAUAACAGGCUGAUUUGACCCAAGAGUUCAUAUCGACGGUCAAGUUUGGCACCUCGAUGUCGGCUCGUCGCAUCCUGGGGCUGGAGAAGGUCCCAAGGGUCCGGCUGUUCGCCGGUUAAAGCGGCACGCGAGCUGGGUUCAGAACGUCGCGAGACAGUUCGGUCCUCUAUCCUCUGUGGGCGCAUGAUAAUUGAGGGGUUUUCUUCCUAGUACGAGAGGACCGGAAGUGACGCACCUAUGGUGCAUCAGUUGACACGUCAGUGGCACGGCUGAGUAGCCAAGUGCGGAAGAGAUAAGCGCUGAAAGCAUCUAAGCGCCAAGCUCAUCCCAAGAUUAGUUAUCACAGGACCGUGGAAGACUACCACGCGAUAGGGUGAACGUACAAGCCAGGGUAACCUGCUCAGCGUAUCACUACUAAUAGUCCAUACAUUUU
rnacentral:rRNA from 1 species